rnacentral:lncRNA from 1 species
UCGGGCUCUGAAACCAGGUUCUCUUGAUCUGAAAGGGUUAAAUAAAGGAUUAGCUAUACUAGUCCAGUAAGGAUAUCACACUAUAUCACCGGCACAGAAGUAAAAGUUGGUAUAAAAUCAAAACAACUAAUGGAGUACUAAAUUUAGCAAAUUCGUUUAUCAAUCAUAAAACUAUUUACCGUUCACUUACCGUAGUGAAAUUUAUG